ensembl:lncRNA PRKCQ-AS1 PRKCQ antisense RNA 1
ACUACGUUAAACACACCCUAACUUUCAGCUGUGUACUUCUUUUCCUCUUUCAGGUUCUGCCCUGAUGUUUCCUGGAAUAAUGCUGAGGACUGCCUUUCGGGUAGCCGCCCUAUUCAGUUCACUUCAUCUCGGAAAUACCUGACCCCUGCCUUGGAUCCAGCGGCCCUCCUGAGAGCUGAGGAAGGAGGAAAUCCUAUGUGUCUGCUCCCGGAGCUGCCACAACCCAUCUUCCCACAACUCGGAACUUGGAAAAAGGAACCCAGGACACGACUUUGCUUUUCUUUUGGACCUAGUUGGUGAUUAUACUCUGUCUCCCAUGGAGACCACGUCUUGCAUCCUUCCUUCUAUAUGGGAUUUAGGAUAGAAAUUAAAAAGAAAACAUAUUAUUUUGAGUCUUGAUUUGGAGAAAGGUAGUAUUCAGGAGGAAGUAGGCUAUGAUACACAUAGAAAAUUUGAGGACAGUGUUACUUAACAAGGACAUUUCUGUCUCUGCAGAAGUCACAGCUUGGAGGAAACCAGUUUGCACUAUUUGAUGAGGAAUUUGGCCACCAAACCACUGAUACUUUCCCAAAGGUUUGGCAGAAAUUGUUUUUUGAGUGGCUCACCAGAGUACCCAGAAGAAUCAGUAUGGAAUUAGAGGACAGUGGCCUACCCUAAAUAAAGACAUGAGUGAUGUAUAAA